rnacentral:rRNA from 1 species
AGUGAACGCUGGCGGCGUGCCUAAUACAUGCAAGUCGAACGGAGUGGCGCACGGGUGAGUAAUGUAUAGCUAAUCUGCCCUACACUAGAGGACAACAGCUGGAAACGACUGCUAAUACUCUAUAGUGUAGGAUGAGGCUAUAUUGUAUCAGUGAGUUGGUGAGGUAAUGGCUCACCAAGGCUAUGACGCAUAACUGGUCUGAGAGGAGGAUCAGUCACACUGGAACUGAGACACUGUUCGGACUCAUACGGGAGGCAGCAGUAGGGAAUAUUGCUCAAUGGGGGAGACCCUGAAGCAGCACCGCCGCGUGGAGGAUGACACUUUUCGGAGCGGAAAUUCCUUUUGUUAGAGAAGCGGUACCUAACGAAUAAGCACCGGCUAACUCCGUGCCAGCAGCCGCGGUAAUAC